GAUGAACGCUGGCGGCGUGCCUAAUACAUGCAAGUCGAGCGAACAGACGAGGAGCUUGCUCCUCUUACGUUAGCGGCGGACGGGUGAGUAACACGUGGAUAACCUACCUAUAAGCCUGGGAUAACUUCGGGAAACCGGAGCUAAUACCGGAUAAUAUCUUGAACCGCAUGGUUCAAUAGUGAAAGACGGUUUUGCUGUCACUUAUAGAUGGAUCCGCGCCGCAUUAGCUAGUUGGUAAGGUAACGGCUUACCAAGGCAACGAUGCGUAGCCGACCUGAGAGGGUGAUCGGCCACACGGGAACUGAGACACGGUCCAGACUCCUACGGGAGGCAGCAGUAGGGAAUCUUCCGCAAUGGGCGAAAGCCUGACGGAGCAACGCCGCGUGAGUGAUGAAGGUCUUCGGAUCGUAAAACUCGGUUAUUAGGGAAGAACAAAUGUGUAAGUAACUAUGCACGUCGUGACGGUACCUAAUCAGAAAGCCACGGCUAACUACGUG
rnacentral:rRNA from 1 species